rnacentral:rRNA from 1 species
UACGUAGGUGGCAAGCGUUACCCGGAUUUAUUGGGCGUAAAGGGAACGCAGGCGGUCUUUUAAGUCUGAUGUGAAAGCCUUCGGCUUAACCGGAGUAGUGCAUUGGAAACUGGGAGACUUGAGUGCAGAAGAGGAGAGUGGAACUCCAUGUGUAGCGGUGAAAUGCGUAGAUAUAUGGAAGAACACCAGUGGCGAAAGCGGCUCUCUGGUCUGUAACUGACGCUGAGGUUCGAAAGCGUGGGUAGCAAACAGG